CCGGCACGGGUGAGUAACGCGUAUCCAACCUGCCUUACACUCUUGGACAGCCUUCUGAAAGGGAGAUUAAUACAAGAUGUUAUCAUGAGUAAGCAUUUUCGCAUGAUUAGAGGUUUACCGGUGUAAGAUGGGGAUGCGUUCCAUUAGAUAGUAGGCGGGGUAACGGCCCACCUAGUCUUCGAUGGAUAGGGGUUCUGAGAGGAAGGUCCCCCACAUUGGAACUGAGACACGGUCCAA
rnacentral:rRNA from 1 species